rnacentral:rRNA from 1 species
ACACUCCUACGGGAGGCAGCAGUGGGGAAUUUUGGACAAUGGGCGCAAGCCUGAUCCAGCCAUGCCGCGUGCGGGAAGAAGGCCUUCGGGUUGUAAACCGCUUUUGUCAGGGAAGAAAAGGUUCUGGCUAAUACCUGGGACUCAUGACGGUACCUGAAGAAUAAGCACCGGCUAACUACGUGCCAGCAGCCGCGGUAAUACGUAGGGUGCAAGCGUUAAUCGGAAUUACUGGGCGUAAAGCGUGCGCAGGCGGUUAUGCAAGACAGAGGUGAAAUCCCCGGGCUCAACCUGGGAACUGCCUUUGUGACUGCAUGGCUAGAGUACGGUAGAGGGGGAUGGAAUUCCGCGUGUAGCAGUGAAAUGCGUAGAUAUGCGGAGGAACACCGAUGGCGAAGGCAAUCCCCUGGACCUGUACUGACGCUCAUGCACGAAAGCGUGGGGAGCAAACAGGAUUAGAAACCCUAGUAGUCC